rnacentral:lncRNA from 1 species
CUUGUUGUUGAUUUUUAAUAAUUGCCCUGGGAGGUUCCUAGUUGGGGGGUUUUUUCCCAUUCCCAAUCCCUCUAGGUCCUUUCCAUUAAACUAUCUCUUUUUUGGAGGUAGUUUUCUCUGUCAGAGAGUUCUCUUGAAUGGAAAUUUCCUCCACUUAUGUAGGACUCUAUCUCAGCCUUAAAAAAGAGCUGCCUUGCACAUUGAGAAGUUAAUUGACUUGUCUAUGAUUGUACUGUUAAUAUUUGCAAGAAGUAAGACUUUAACUUGGGAGUUCCUGAUUCUGAGGCCAGGUCUCCGUGCACUUUGCCAGAAGCUGAAAUUCAAACUGAAAAUUCGAAGAAAGCUCAAGAAGCCAGAAGCUCCUCUUCCAUCCAUUGAAAAGAUGGUCCUGGACUGCCUUCUCCAUGCCUUCCUCCAGAACCUGCCCCAGUCCUCUCUGACCAGAAAUAAGGUGGGAACAAUAAGAACAAGAACAAAAAGGAAGGAGGAGGCGGCAGCAAAGAAUGAGUUGGAGAAGAAGGAGGAGGAGAGCUAGAAGGAAACAGAUGAGAUGAAUAAUUUGAAAGUUACAUGUUGAAAUCAUUAAAGGGAAAAGCAAGCU